AAGGCGUAUAAGGCAGGCUUCCACUACAAUGCCUUACUGAUGAGUCCAGUAGUGGAAGCCGGGACGAAACGCCAA
rnacentral:hammerhead_ribozyme from 15 species